CCCUUACAAUGGUUGAAGCUGUCAGCAUGAUCUAAGCUUACCUAAUCGGUAAGAAUAGAUCAUGUGACAAUUUCAUCUGUUGAACUG
rnacentral:pre_miRNA from 1 species